rnacentral:rRNA from 1 species
GUAGGGAAUCUUCCACAAUGGACGAAAGUCUGAUGGAGCAACGCCGCGUGAGUGAAGAAGGUCUUCGGAUCGUAAAACUCUGUUGUUAGAGAAGAACGUGCAUGAUAGUAACUGAUCAUGUAAUGACGGUAUCUAACCAGAAAGCCACGGCUAACUACGUGCCAGCAGCCGCGGUAAUACGCAGGUGGCAAGCGUUGUCCGGAUUUAUUGGGCGUAAAGGGAACGCAGGCGGUUUUUUAAGUCUGAUGUGAAAGCCUUCGGCUUAACCGAAGAAUAGCAUUGGAAACUGGAAGACUUGAGUGCAGAAGAGGAGAGUGGAAUUCCAUGUGUAGCGGUGAAAUGCGUAGAUAUAUGGAGGAACACCAGUGGCGAAAGCGGCUCUCUGGUCUGUAACUGACGCUGAGGUUCGAAAGCGUGGGUAGCAAACAGGAUUAGAAACCCGGGUAGUCC